rnacentral:lncRNA from 1 species
GUGGGACUUGCCUUUGUGCAGCUGCGGCUUGUAUAGAAAGGGCGUUGCUGGGAGAGGGGACCUGGGCCCGACAGGACACCAGUGUUUCAAAUAAAGAAGAAACCCCACUCCUGACAUGGGGGAAGGAAGAGGGGACAAAAAACAAAGCACUCUUCACGUCAGCCAGCUCUUCAAACUCUGCCCAAGAGGAUAAGGGCAGCAGCGGCCUGGAUGAGGGGAGGAGCUGGGCGUGCCCGGGUGCUCUGAGGAGCCUGUCCCUGUUCCCGCCAGAGGGGACGCAGCCGGGCUGGCCUCAGGUCUGCGCUUCCGGCUGUUAACUACUCUUCUUAGUUCAGAUCUGGAACUCAGCAUCAGGGGAGUGUGAUCAGGGCCCCCCUGAGGGUGGCCCCAGCUGCAACUCCAGGGUAAGGAGUGUGGGCUCUGGGGUCAGACAGCCUGGGUUCGAAUCCCAGCCUCACUGUUCCAUAGCCCUGUGACCUUGGGCAAGUGACCAAGUUACUUAGUUUUUCUGUCCCUCAGUUUCCGCCACGGUAAAAUGAGAAUGACAGAAGUGCCUAGACUGAACUAACGUGUGUAGUCUUUUAGUGCCUGGGCACAUGGCAAGCGUGUGAUGAGUCACUGUGCCCGUCUUAUCGUCAGCCGUCAUCUCGGUGCUUUUCACAACCACCCUGUUAUGAUCGCCCUCCAUUUUAAAGAAGGAGACUGGGGAGCUUCACCCACGGUCACCCUCCCACGUGCGAGGCGGAGUCCCGACCCACGUCCGUCUGACGGAAGGCGGAGCUUUCACGCGAGGCACGCACGGAGGCACACACAGUUACCCAUCCUGCCCUGCCCUCUGGCCGCCCACUCACUGGGCAAGCAAAGGGCUCAGAGGCGACACACAGUGAUCCCAGGGCUUUAUUUACAAGAGGAGAAGG